AAAAUCAUAGCACCUCCCAAACACUGAGAUUCAAGAACUAAAAUUUGGUGGCCGUGUACCUCUGUGAUGAGUGGCUGUACUUCACUCUCAUCACGGUUCCUCGUCUUCUUUUGAAAUAUCCACAGCAGUGAGCUUUGAACCAUCUAAUCUAGAAUCUUGUUUUAUUUCUGACUACGUUUAGGUAAAGAAGGACAUUUUGGUUUGGGGGUUUCUAUUAACAAAAAGCAGUCACUAAAAUUUUUCUACCCUGAACAUGUGCGUAUAGUGUAUCUGGGUGGUGGAAGGGAGUGGAGAUGUCAUUGUAAAGGAUUAUUUUAUGGAUGUGUAGGCUCACUUGUAUUCGGUCAGCAUUCUGGGAGAGUGCAUUUUACACCCUGAAAGGGCUGUACAACCUCAUAAACUAGUAGAAUCAGUGAAAUAAUGAUCUUCCAGCCAAGUAAAAUGGUAUAUACAUGCAAUCCCAGAGUGUGGGAAACUAAAUCAAGAUGACUAGUACAGUUCCACAGCAGAAUGGACUCUACAGGGAGUGGGUCAGUGAGAGCAUGUUGCUAAUUUAGUAUCUGGGUCCUACAUAUAUUUGAUAUACAUUCUCUCUGUGUGUGUGUGUGUGUGUGUGUGUGUAUAUAUAUAUAUAUAUAUAUAUAUACAUACAUACAUAUAUACACACACGUACACAUAUUUGUUUAUCUUAUCUUAUUUUUCCUUUCUUUAGUAAUAAAAUAGCACAUUUAUGACUGUUUUAAUACAUUCCUUUGUUAAUUUUUAAUUUACUUACUUUUUAUUAUUGACUUAUUUGAAUUUACCAUAUUUGUGCUUAUGUGCACUGAAUAUGAUCUAAGGUGCAAAUGAAGUUUUUAAUUUAUUUUAGAUGCUUUUUAUUUAUUUUGGGUUUCACACAUGAAUUUAAGAUUUUUUUGAUCAUAGUCUUUACUCAUGGUUCCUCCAAUUCCUGCCAGACAAGCUCUUGUGAAACCUCUUCCAAUUUUGUCUUCUAGUUUUUUAAUAGGAUAUUUUCUUUAUUUACAUUUCAAAUGUUCUCCCCAUUCCAGGUCUCCCCUUCUGAAACCCCCUAUCCCAUCCCCCUCCCGCUCCUCUAUUUUUAGGCCAUUUGUCUAAUUAGUGCUGCCAGCACCAGAAUGACUGCUCUGACUAAUGACUCAUAGGAAGUCCUUCAAAUAUGGUAGUGAGAUUCUCACUUAAAAGACCAUGAAGUCUGGGAGCAGCAUUUUGUACACAAAAAGGCACAUUAUUAUAAGUUUUGGUUAUAUAUCUUUUGUUUAUAAAAUGAUAUGGUUUUUUAAUUUAUCACUCCUCUAGUUUCUGUUUAUCUGUGGAAUUUGGAGCAGUCAUUUCUGUUUUCUAAUUAGAAACUAUUUUUCCACCAUUUAUAAAAUUUGGUUUUAACAUGUUGGCAAUGGAAAAUGAUUCAACUUUGUAAGUACAUUACAAAGCACUGUCUGUGCCAGGUAAAGUUGAGAUAUUUAUACCUUCUGAUUUAUUUAUUCCUAAAAACAUCCUACUGUGCUACAGAAGAAUGCAUAAAACACAGAUGAUGCCUUCUUAUGGGGCAUUGAACAAAGAGGCCGGGACUCAAACCGCUGCAUUGGGGUUCUAGAGCCUCUCUGAUACACUGUAACUUAUUACUAUUACAAAUAGACUCGUGCAGGAAUGUUGAAGAAUGAUAUUUGAAUGCCUUUUGUUUCAUAAAUUCUGUCACAUGCUGUCAAACCUUUAACUGCUUCUUCUCUUUAUAUGAAAUACAGAGAAAGAAAGAAAGAAAGAAAGAAAGAAAGAAAGAAAGAAAGAAAGAAAGAAAGAAAGAAAGGAAGAAGGAAAGAAAGAAAGAAAAAGAAAGAGAGAACUUAAUACAGUAGGUCAAAUGAACAACAUAGACACUGUAUGCUUAAGAAGUGAGGUGAGCUUGUUGAUAAAAUAUACAGAUUAUACAUUAGAAAGUCUUUGUUCUUGAAGGUUGUACUUCUCCCUGAAACACCCAACUUCAGUAGCUUCUCUAUACAUAAACAAUGAACACAAUGCAAAAAGAGUUACAUAAAAUUCCAUUUACAGUAGCCACAAAAGUAGGCCUAAAUAUAGGCUUGACCAAAGAUGUUAGAGAUCUUUAUAUGAG
rnacentral:lncRNA from 1 species